rnacentral:rRNA from 1 species
AUACGGAGGGUGCAAGCGUUAUUCGGAAUCACUGGGCGUAAAGGACGCGUAGGCGGGUUGGCAAGUCAGAUGUGAAAUCCUACAGCUUAACUGUAGAACUGCAUUUGAAACUGCUAACCUAGAGUAUGGGAGGGGGAGAUGGAAUUAGUGGUGUAGGGGUAAAAUCCGUAGAUAUCACUAGGAAUACCGAAAGCGAAGGCGAUCUCCUGGAGCAUAACUGACGCUAAGGCGUGAAAGCGUGGGGAGCAAACAGGAUUAGAAACCCUAGUAGUCC